rnacentral:rRNA from 1 species
GACGUAGGAUGCAAGCGUUGUCCGGAUUUAUUGGGCGUAAAGAGUUCGUAGGCGGUUCGUUAAGUCUGAUGUUAAAGAUCGGGGCUCAACCCCGAGACUGCAUUGGAUACUGGCGAGCUGGAGUGCGGUAGAGGUUAGUGGAAUUCCCAGUGUAGCGGUGAAAUGCGUAGAUAUUGGGAAGAACACCAGUGGCGUAGGCGACUAACUGGGCCGUAACUGACGCUGAGGAACGAAAGCCAGGGGAGCGAAUGGG